rnacentral:lncRNA from 1 species
CAGACAGCGAAGCGAGAAGCAUCGCGCAGCCUUUCCCUCCCUCCCGGCUGUUCCAGCGCUGCUGCACCCCAAAAUCGCCCCCAGGAAAGGAGGAAAAAUUAAAGGGGAAUGUCUCGAGGAAGAAAAGGAGCUGCAACCUCGAGAGGAAAUGAAGUCACCGCGUUAUAUAUCUCCUUGCACGGCAGCGGUGUAUACACGGAGAUAGAUAAGAUUAGAUGAUGGAUGGGAAAAGCGGAGCCCCUCCCGAAAGCGAUGGUUCUCAAUUACAGAGAGCGCAGAGCGACCGCGGAACGGGGGGUGACCCCAAAAACCGACCCCCUCCACCCCACCGGAGAGCUCCGUGCCCCCAAAGCGCCGCGUUACAGCGAUCCGAUCGUCCCAAUAAAGAGAGGAAAAGCAUUGGGAUGCAAAGUGUUGCUUGUUUAAUCGGCGCGCUUCGUGAUUACGAACGCUUUGCAAUUAAUUAACGCGCAGAGGAGCAGGCCGAGGCCGCCGGCCCGAGCCAUUGGGGAGGGGGGGGGCUGCGGGGAAGGAGGGGGGGCUAUGGGCGUGCAAGGCCGAGCCUCGUGCACGCAAUUAGCAGCGCGGCUCAUUAAAUAUGGCUCUAGCCCAGCCUUGGCCGACCCACCCGUGCUGCGCCGGGCCGCCCCCUCCGCGCAUGCGCUCCCCCCCUUAUUAUUAUUUCAUACAUAUAUAUAUAUUUUUAAGGAAAAGUUGUGCGGCUGCAUUUCCCCCCCUCCAUCCCCACGCAGAUUUCCCCCCCCCUUCCCUCCCGGCGCGCCCCUCAACCCCUACCCCCACC